rnacentral:rRNA from 1 species
UCGAGAAUUUUUCACAAUGGGCGCAAGCCUGAUGGAGCGACGCCGCGUGGGGGAUGAAUGGCUUCGGCCCGUAAACCCCUGUCAUUUGCGAUCAAACCUUGCUAUUUAAAAGAUGGCGAGCUGAUAGUAGCGAAAGAGGAAGGGACGGCUAACUCUGUGCCAGCAGCCGCGGUAAUACAGAGGUCCCAAGCGUUGUUCGGAUUCACUGGGCGUAAAGGGUGCGUAGGUGGUGGGGUAAGUCGGAUGUGAAAUCUCGGAGCUCAACUCCGAAAUGGGAUUGGAAACUACCCUGCUAGAGGGUCGGAGGGGGGACUGGAAUUCUCGGUGUAGCAGUGAAAUGCGUAGAUAUCGAGAGGAACGCCAGUGGCGAAGGCGAGUCCCUGGACGACUCCUGACACUGAGGCACGAAAGCUAGGGGAGCAAACA